UCUGUCUCUCUCCCUCUCUCUCUCUCUUUUUAGAGUUAUUUUGUUGCUGCUGCUAUCUGCUGUAUGUAUGUAUGUACAGUUUUUAUGAAAAAAUGAAAAAAAAAAUAAGGUGGGGCCACCAAAUCAAAAGAAUACAAAAGU
rnacentral:ribozyme from 14 species